UGCAACCAACAUGCAUACGAGUGUGGCAGAUAAGGGUUUUACAAGGAGAUAAACAUAUCUACAUGAAGGUUACAGCAACUACACUUCCACACAUGACAUAGAUUAGCUACAAGCUGGAGUCAUCCUUAUCAUGCAUUUUGUCAAAGUGACAUAAAAGCACAAGGCACCAAAACCACAAAUAGUAUCCACCAAUAGAGGCAAAUUUCAACAAAUCCCAGAAGUAAAAAUUUAUAGCAGAAAAUCAUAAUCAA
rnacentral:misc_RNA from 1 species